ACUCAAAUGAAUUGACGGGGGCCCGCACAAGCGGUGGAGGAUGUGGUUUAAUUCGACGCAACGCGAAGAACCUUACCUGGGCUUGAAGUGCUAGGUAAACCCCUGGAAACAGGGGCUGCCCGCAAGGGAGACCUAGUAGAGGUGCUGCAUGGCUGUCGUCAGCUCGUGUCGUGAGAUGUUGGGUUAAGUCCCGCAACGAGCGCAACCCUUGUCGUUAGUUACCAGCGAGUCAAGUCGGGGACUCUAACGAGACUGCCGGUGGUAAACCGGAGGAAGGUGGGGAUGACGUCAAGUCCUCAUGGCCCUUACGUCCAGGGCUACACACGUCCUACAAUGGCCAGGACAACGGGAUGCAAGACCGCGAGGUGGAGCAAAUCCUUCAAACCUGGUCUCAGUUCAGAUUGCAGUCUGCAACUCGACUGCAUGAAGUUGGAAUCGCUAGUAAUCGCGGAUCAGCACGCCGCGGUGAAUACGUUCCCGGGCCUUGUACACACCGCCCGU
rnacentral:rRNA from 1 species